rnacentral:lncRNA from 1 species
UCUUUUAAGCUGUACUUAAAUUGUGUCUCCUUCUGCUUCUUAGUAAUCUAGCCCUUUUUUGAACUCUUCUUGUAUCUAUUGCAGCCCCCGAUUCGUAACUAGUCAAUUGGUAACUUCUAUCUCAGCCUGAUGACCCCAAGGAGUCCUCAUUCUCAGCUGCUGUGACUUACUUUCCUCAGCCUCCCACUCCAGCCCCCAUCUUAUUCCAACAGUAGUUCAGGUUCAGGGUGGGAUUCCCACUGUUGGUAAUGUUUUGCUUUGU